rnacentral:lncRNA from 1 species
UUUCCCGUGCCCAGGCCAUGCUGGGUGUGCUUAGAGGUGGGCCUAAACUUCCCCAUGGAUUUUCUGUUUGGAGGAGAGCAGGAGAGCAGGACAUGUGCCACCUCCUCAGCAGCUGCCAGAGCAGAAUGCCCAUGAGCUGCUGCUGUCUCCCAGCACUGGUAUUGCUCCCGAGGCCAGAGAUGAGGAUCCACCUUCAGAGAGCCAUGGUGGGAACAAGAUCUGACCCCAGAUAUCUCCUGGCCCCUCCUGAACGGGUGCUUCCCCAUGACCAGGUGGUGCAGCAGGAGGCCCAGGGAUCAGAUCGUCGCUGCCUCGCUGUGGUAGCAUUGCUGGUGGAUCCACUCUGGUGGGCUGUACGACAGGGUUCCUGUGGAACACAGACACAGUUCAUCAGGGGGAUGCUGCAGCCUCCAGCACCUGGAGGAGCAGCCCCCGCGCCUCCUCCUCCGGCAGGAACCCCCGCUCCGCCAGGAAACCCGACAGGUCCUGGCACCGCUCCGGAUGCUCCAGCACCAGCACAAAGCUGUCGGGGAGCUGAAGCUGUUAAAAAUAAGGGCCAGGAGACCUUGUGCUCCUUUCUUGACAGGCCUUUAUUUAAUAGGAAAGCCUAUGGGGGUGGGGGUGCGGGGUUCGCGACGCCGCCGCUGCUCCCAGACGAGUCGACGUCCCAGAGGAGGGGUCAGCGAGCCUGUCGAUUUCGGCAGGGUCGGAGUCUGCGCCCUCACGGGAUACGUCCCGAGACUCGUUCUGCUGCUCGUUGGUCUAGGGGUUUUCUGUGCGCUGUCUCCCUCGAGAUUACAGCAACCAGUUUCGGUGAUUCUAAGGGUCUUCCCCAGCUUUCUGAAGUUUUCCUGACAUGCAGGUAUAAGUCUUUUUAUUGUCCCGGUUGUUGGCUCGUUGUCUCAGUCCGUUUUGGUUUGCGCGGGAAUCUAGUAAUUAAUAGUCUGUGCUCGCUCGGCCUUCUGGGAAUCGGGAAGUCCCCCUCUGGGAGCAAGUCUCUGGGAGCAGCCUCGGAAUUACCCGACGCAGUGGAAGGGACAAGGGGCUUCAAACUAUUAAAAGCAGGGAAACUAACAGGUAUGAUUUCUUAUAUAAGGAGUUUUAACAAGGCACUUAUAACAAGAGGGGGUACAGAGACUUAGGGAAUUAACGGGGGACACAUUCUGGGUAUAAGGAUAGAUACAUAUAGGGGUGGAAUUAACAAUGGUAUGCAUCAGG